rnacentral:lncRNA from 1 species
AUUUUGCAGCUUGCAACAAGUGCUGGUGAGGCAGCAGAGCUCAGGAGCAUCCCCUUCACCCGGCCCUGCUCAGCAGUGCUUCCUCCAGGAAGUUGUGUUUUGGAAGGGCAGGCUUGCAGCACGACCUGCUGUGGUGACCCAGGAUCAUCCAACCACUCCUCGCCAUCUCCUGCUUCUGCUCCUUGCUCGGGCACCCAGAGCAGCAGCCUUGCUGUCAGGUGUGUGUCCUGUGGCUCCUGUUUGAGUGUGGUUGGUUGGACACCACGGCAAGCAGGUACCUCUGUGCUGCAGGACCCAUGGCACCCAGGCGACUGGGGGGAGCAGAGGGUAAAGGCAGGAGUGGGUUUCUCUCCUUCAGCUUCCCCAGUAGAGAGGAGACGCCCUUCCUGCUUCAUCUCUCCCCAGAAUGGAAGCUGUCCCCACAUCCCUUCUCCUCAAGCUUUCCUUAGCCUACAGGAGGUAGGUCCUGAGAGGCUGAGCACUUUGUGAACUCCCUGAAGACAAGAACACCUUUUUCAGUCUAACUUUAGGUUUACUUAAGUGUUUUUAGAUGGAGAACAGAAAUGUCACAUAAUUACGGUAUUUAAGACAGGUUCAUGCAGACAGUCCUCCUGUUCCUGCCUCCUGGCAAUGGUUCAGCACCCUCGAAGCUGUAAAUCCCCAGGCUGAGGAAGGGGUGAUUUGCCACCAGCACAGUCACAGUGGGGAGGCCAAGGGGCUUCUGUGCCCAGAGGCUGCUCCCUGGUGCUGGUAUGCGUGGAAGAAGGUGGCAGGGCUUUGCAGCAGAGGAGCUGCUCCAUAGGCAGAGUGCUGCUGCUCUGGAGGGGUUUGGCUGGCAAUAGAGGUGAUGAUGCUUUGCUGCUUGUUCAGGGGUCAAUCUGCAGAUCCUGAAGUGCCACAGGCAAAGAGCAGCUCCCUGUGCAGCAUGUGCUGCCAGCCAGCCCUGCCCAGACUAGGUAACUAUGGCAGUGCCAGAAGCAGAGCACAGCAAUAAACCUGUUUGUUUGAAAAGGAAAUGAGAACCAGACUAAUUCAGACUCCUGCAGUACUGGUGAGCAGCCAUGAAUGUCCUGGGAGGCUGGGCAGGAAGGAUGGGUGGGAAGGGGUCCAGUGGUGCUACUGCAACUGAUCCCUGUGACAUC